rnacentral:rRNA from 1 species
UACGAAGGGUGCAAACGUUGCUCGGAAUUAUUGGGGCGUAAAGCGCACGUAGGCGGCUUUGUGUGUCGGAUGUGAAAUCCCUCGGCUCAACCAAGGAAGUGCAUUCGAAACUGCAAAGCUUGAGUACUUAAGAGGAUCGCGGAAUUCCCGGUGUAGAGGUGAAAUUCGUAGAUAUCGGGAGGAACACCGGUGGCGAAGGCGGCGACCUGGGUCGAUACUGACGCUGAGGUGCGAAAGUGUGGGGAGCGAACAGG